AAGACAUAGAGGCGCUAUUAAUACUACAAGAUGUUUCACUUUGAACGAUGACUACAGACGAUGAUUUAACAUCAGUCAUAAAGUAGUUAUUUGUGCCAAUAAGGUUAGCAAAAGAACCACUUUCAGAGGAGGAGAAAUGGAAAGAUCCAUAGACACCAUAACUUGCAAUUUGACGGAAAAGUGAAGAGCUAGUCGUUGCAUUACAUAAUGCAAAGCUCCUAAGGAUGGAGACUUCAGAAAGCACAGCAGCUGUGUAAAAAUCUAAUCCAAAAAUAUUUGCAACCACAUCGUCUACACACUUGAAAUUGGAGGAAGUCCAUCCAUUCGUAUUGACGGUGUAGUUGGAGACUGCCGAUCCAUUGUUCGUGACAGAAACCGUAGACAUAUUAGCCCUAGGGGUACCAACAACACAAAGCCUAGAGGUAGAGUAAUUAACAUAUUGUUGACUUAAACCGAAAUAAGAAAAUAUUUCCGAAUUUACGCUAACGACUGAACUCUGGCUACUUGAGCUACUGCUUGAGCUUGUGUUUGUAGCAGCAGAAGUUGAACUAUUCCAUGAAAUGGAACUAUUAGUGGUUGAAUUGGUUGGAUAGACUGAUCCUCCAGAAACACUUCCGGUUGAAUUCAUUGUGGAAGUGGAAUUGCUGGAUGACUGAGUAUAGUUGGAAGCAUAACCUGUAACAGAAUUGGCCAGGGAAGAGAAGACACCGAAAGACACGUCGUCCAAAACUAACAGUUGCGCAUUGUCAAUGUAAUCCAAAAUAGGGCUAUAAAGUACUGACCCAACAGAACUCUGACCCGAUGGACCGUAAAUGCUUGCCCAUCCUGGUGAAACAAGUGAAAAUCUCUCGCGAGAGGAAAUCCAUUCAGUACCGUUAAAUAGAACUACGUCUAUAACGACAUCUUGAGAAGUAGUAUUAUUGGCAUCGACAGGAGGAUAAAUGGCCAAAUCUUUGUCAUUACUAGGAAUGCCUGGUGAUGGUAGAGCAUUAGCUAGACCCGCGGCACCUAGGAGAGAAACAAACAAGCUACCAAAGAAUUGCAUCGUCACCGAGAUCUAGAAAAUGCAAUAAAAAAACCAUGCUCUUUUAAAUAGAGAUUUAACACAAAUUAUAUCGAUUACAUAGAAAUGAUUUCAAUUGCCUCUUAAAGAUUGAUAAAAAAAUUAAAAGUUGAUGACUUCAACAACCUAGCAGCCCUAUCAAAAUAUGAUGGAAGAAAAUCGUUGCUAAACAUAUAGGAUGCCAAUGACCAACUAUGUUCUGGGAAUCUUUUCAACUGUCAUUAUUCCCAAUUACGGACUUGAAAGAGGGUAAUACUGUUUCUUUUUGAGCCACCAACAUUCUUUCUGAAAUUCACAACUUCGGCAUUUGUAGACUUCCUCUGCAGGAACGCCUUCAGGCUCCCUUAAAUUGUGCCAAA